rnacentral:rRNA from 1 species
GUUAUAUGGUCAAGCGGUUAAGCGCAUACGGUGGAUGCCUAGGCGACAGGAGGCGAUGAAGGACGUUGUAGCCUGCGAUAAGCUUCGGGGAGUCGGCAAACAGACUGUGAUCCGGAGAUUUCCGAAUGGGGAAACCCGACCAUCUUUAGGUGGUCAUCGUGCACUGAAUACAUAGGUGUACGAGGCGAACCCGGGGAACUGAAACAUCUAAGUACCCGGAGGAAAAGAAAUCAACCGAGAUUCCCUCAGUAGCGGCGAGCGAACGGGGACCAGCCCUUAAGCUUCUUACAUUCUAGUGGAACGUUCUGGAAAGUUCGGCCAUAGCGGGUGAUAGCCCCGUACACGAAAGGGUGUUUG